rnacentral:sRNA from 1 species
CUUUAAAAAUCUGGAUCAAGCUGAAAAUUGAAACGACACACAGCUCAUGUGUGUUCGAAUCUCUCAAAUUUUCGCAAGUCGGUGAUGAAUCGAAAGAAACAUCUUCGG